rnacentral:rRNA from 1 species
AGGGUUCGAUUCUGGCUCAGGAUGAACGCUAGCUACAGGCUUAACACAUGCAAGUCGAGGGGUAGCAGGGUAGCAAUACCGCUGACGACCGGCGCACGGGUGAGUAACACGUAUCCAACCUUCCCAUAACUCAGGGAUAGCCUUUCGAAAGAAAGAUUAAUACCUGAUAGUACUUUUUCAAGGCAUCUUGAGAAAGUUAAAGAUUUAUUGGUUAUGGAUGGGGAUGCGUUCCAUUAGAUAGUUGGUGAGGUAACGGCUCACCAAGUCUUCGAUGGAUAGGGGUUCUGAGAGGAAGGUCCCCCACAUUGGUACUGAGACACGGACCAAACUCCUACGGGAGGCAGCAGUGAGGAAUAUUGGUCAAUGGGCGAGAGCCUGAACCAGCCAAGUAGCGUGAAGGAAUGAAGGUCCUAUGGAUUGUAAACUUCUUUUAUAGUAGAAUAAAGUGAUCCACGUGUGGAUUUUUGUAUGUAUACUAUGAAUAAGGAUCGGCUAACUCCGUGCCAGCCGCGGC